ACGAACGCUGGCGGCAGGCUUAACACAUGCAAGUCGAGCGCCUCGCAAGAGGAGCGGCAGACGGGUGAGUAACGCGUGGGAAUCUACCUAGUUCUACGGAACAACUGAUGGAAACGUCAGCUAAUACCGUAUACGCCCUAAGGGGGAAAGAUUUAUCGGAAUUAGAUGAGCCCGCGUAAGAUUAGCUAGUUGGUGGGGUAAUGGCCUACCAAGGCGACGAUCUUUAGCUG
rnacentral:rRNA from 1 species